UACGUAGGGGCAAGCGUUAUCCGGAUUUACUGGGCGUAAAGGGUGCGUAGGUGGUUUCUUAAGUCAGAGGUGAAAGGCUACGGCUCAACCGUAGUAAGCCUUUGAAACUGGGAAACUUGAGUGCAGGAGAGGAGAGUGGAAUUCCUAGUGUAGCGGUGAAAUGCGUAGAUAUUAGGAGGAACACCAGUUGCGAAGGCGGCUCUCUGGACUGUAACUGACACUGAGGCACGAAAGCGUGGGGAGCAAACAGGAUUAGAUACCCGGGUAGUCCCUGAGCGGG
rnacentral:rRNA from 1 species